UACGUAGGGGGCAAGCGUUGUCCGGAUUCAUUGGGCGUAAAGAGCGUGUAGGCGGCCAGGUAGGUCGGUUGUGAAAACUGGAGGCUCAACCUUCAGAGGUCGACCGAAACCAUCUGGCUAGAGUCCGGGAGAGGAGAGUGGAAUUCCUGGUGUAGCGGUGAAAUGCGCAGAUAUCAGGAGGAACACCGGUGGCGAAGGCGGCAUCCUGGACCGGUAUUGACGCUGAGGCGCGAAAGCUAGGGGAGCAAACAGG
rnacentral:rRNA from 1 species